UUGUGUUAUGCGGUGAAGAUCUAUUUUUGUUCUUCAAUGAUUUCAUCUGAUCUUUUAUUUGUUUUUCUAUCUGCACUCGCAUUUGCUCUUGCAUUUGCUCCAUGUCUUGUUUCAUUUUGAUCCGGUUUUGCUCUAAUAUUUGUUCAACCUCCUCUAAAGAAAACAUAGUUUGAGAAGGUCCUCCAGGAUGAGCUGAUGUGCAUGAGAAAGAUGUAGUUGGAGUUCCUGAUUUUGCAAUAUCAGAGGAUCCAAAACCAUAAACUCUUCCUUUGCUACUUCCAGAAAUUUCAAUCCACUUAUUCAAAAUCAAAAACAGACUGACUCUCACAAUU
rnacentral:lncRNA from 1 species